AUAUCAAGUGGUGGUGGAGGAGGAGCGCCCCCGCAGGCAGAGGAGAGGUACUGCAGAGAUCCUGCGCUGUUACCCCGUGCCCAUCCACUUCCAGAACGCCACGCUGCUCAACUCCCAGUAUUACUUCAGCGCCGAGCUGCCGAUGAGCGAGCUGAGGGCGCCAAUGCCCUUCUGCAUCGGUGAUAACAGGACCUACAGCGGUUACUGGAACGCUCCUCUGCUGCCUCAUAAGAGUUAUGGGAUCUACUACCAGGCUGUGAGCACUGCUAACGGGGAAACAAAGAUCGACUGCGUGCGGGUGGCCACUAAAGG